CCUACGGGAGGCAGCAGUGAGGAAUAUUGGUCAAUGGACGAGAGUCUGAACCAGCCAAGUAGCGUGAAGGAUGACUGCUCUAUGGGUUGUAAACUUCUUUUAUAUGGGAAUAAAAUGUUCCACGUGUGGGAUUUUGUAUGUCACAUCUGAAUAAGGAUCGGCUAACUCCGUGCCAGCAGACGCGGUAAUACGGAGGAUCCGAGCGUUAUCCGGAUUUAUUGGGUUUAAAGGGAGCGUAGGUGGAUUGUUAAGUCAGUUGUUAAAGUUUGCGGCUCAACCGUAAAAUUGCAAUGGAUACUGGCAGUCUUGAGUACAGUAGAGGUAGGCGGAAUUCGUGGUGUAGCGGUGAAAUGCUUAGAUAUCACGAAGAACCCCGAGUGCGAAGGCAGCUUACUAAACUGUGACUGACAUUGAUGCUCGAAAGUGUGGGUAUCAAACAGGAUUAGAUACCCGUGUAGUC
rnacentral:rRNA from 1 species